GACGAACGCUGGCGGCGUGCUUAACACAUGCAAGUCAAGGGGGCCCAGCAAUGGGCAACCGGCGAACGGGUGCGUAACACGUGAGCAACCUACCGAAAUGUGGGGGAUAGCCGGCCUAACGGCCGAGUAAUACCGCAUACGCUCUCGAUGAGGCAUUUCAUUGAGAGGAAACCUACGGGACAUUUCGAGGGGCUCGCGGCCUAUCAGCUAGUUGGAGAGGUAACGGCUCACCAAGGCGACGACGGGUAGCUGGUCUGAGAGGAUGGCCAGCCACAUUGGGACUGAGAUACGGCCCAGACUCCUACGGGAGGCAGCAGUGGGGAAUCUUGCGCAAUGGCCUAACGGCUGACGCAGCGACGCCGCGUGUAGGAUGAAGCUCUUCGGAGUGUAAACUACUGUUGCCCGGGACGAACAGCUCGAUUAAUCGAGCCUGACGGUACCGGGU
rnacentral:rRNA from 1 species